UACGGGGGGGGCAAGCGUUGUUCGGAAUUACUGGGCGUAAAGCGUGCGCAGGCGGUCUGUUAAGACAGAUGUGAAAUCCCCGGGCUUAACCUGGGAACUGCAUUUGUGACUGGGCAGGCUAGAGUAUGGCAGAGGGGGGUAGAAUUCCACGGUGUAGCAGUGAAAUGCGUAGAGAUGUGGAGGAAUACCGAUGGCGAAGGCAGCCCCCUGGGCCAAUACUGACGCUCAUGCACGAAAGCGUGGGGAGCAAACAGG
rnacentral:rRNA from 1 species